rnacentral:rRNA from 1 species
UAGGGAAUCUUCCGCAAUGGACGAAAGUCUGACGGAGCAACGCCGCGUGAGCGAUGAAGGCCUUCGGGUCGUAAAGCUCUGUUGUUAGGGAAGAACAAGUAUCGGAGUAACUGCCGGUACCUUGACGGUACCUAACCAGAAAGCCACGGCUAACUACGUGCCAGCAGCCGCGGUAAUACGUAGGUGGCAAGCGUUGUCCGGAAUUAUUGGGCGUAAAGCGCGCGCAGGCGGUCCUUUAAGUCUGAUGUGAAAGCCCACGGCUCAACCGUGGAGGGUCAUUGGAAACUGGGGGACUUGAGUACAGAAGAGGAAAGUGGAAUUCCACGUGUAGCGGUGAAAUGCGUAGAGAUGUGGAGGAACACCAGUGGCGAAGGCGACUUUCUGGUCUGUAACUGACGCUGAGGCGCGAAAGCGUGGGGAGCAAACAGGAUUAGAUACCCUGGUAGUCCACGCCGUAAACGAUGAGUGCCAAGUGUUAGAGGGUUUCCGCCCUUUAGUGCUGCAGCAAACG